UUUACGUCCUUCUUUGACAAGUUCUUUCCUUCCUUUUAUAGACACCUAGGAGCCAAGUAACUGCUGUUGCACAGAGCUGAAGAAGCCACAAUGAUUACCUAAAUCCCAACGUUGUUUGUUCAGACCUGUUUUGCCUGCCAUCAGGAGUGAGGAGUGAAACUUCACAUAGAAGGACAUCUUCUCUGGUUACCAAUUUGCCUUUUAUUUUUACCUAAGUGACUGUCAGUGAGGCCUCAGCAUGUGAAGUGGCACCUGCUAUAUUUUGCAGAACAGGUCUGCCUAUCAUUUUCCCCUUAUUUAUAUUGUUGGUGCCAGAAGCAUACCAGAGCUGGGAUCCUAGUUGUAGUAGGUUCUAUACAAGAACAGAAAAAGGAAAAAUCUGCCACAAGAGUUUACAGUGCAGUGGACCAGUUGACUUACAUUGGAGUACAUGCAUCAGGAUAUCCUCAAGACAAAACAUAAUUCACAGAGCAGUUGCACUACAUGAGCAAACCCUUGACACACGCCUGCUGCAUCAGGAGGCGCCCACAGCAGGCAGGAAGAUUUCAGCACGAACCAACAACCAAGCCGCGCAACGCUCCUCCGAAACACACAGGCGGCCCCCGCCC